GCUGUGCCCCUCAGAACCUGCAGAGCCCUUGAACAGUGAGGGAAGGAAGCAAGAUGAGUAUUUCAGGUCAUCUACUCACUUGGUCUACCCUCCAGUAAUUCAGAGUUGGGUUUUACUAUGAUUUACAAAACUAUGUAACAAGGCAGGAAGAGCAGGAAGCCAAGGGCUGCACUUCAUCCCAGAGGGGGGAUGCUGAAAUACUGAACGAACUGCACGCAGGUGUCCAAGCUUCAGGAAAUUCUAAUUGAAACACUGACUGAAAAAUUCCAUCCUACUUGUAUACAUCGAGCUGUUGUUUAAGCCCUUUUCACAUGCAAUGAGCUCAUAUUCGGAAUGCUUUGACUCAACAUGCAUAAAGGCUUGGCAAAUGCUUUUGGGGAGGAGCACCCUGUCACAGAAAGCAAGAGAAAAACAAGGCUGGGGCUCAGCACAUUCUCUCGGAGCACACAGGCCUUCACGGGCCAGGGUUUCUGUUAUUAAAAAAUCAAAUAGAGACACUCUCCUCUCGAUGCAGCACUAAUUGCCAGGUUCCAAUAAGUCAACAGACACUUUUUCCAUGACUUCUGACUACAGAGUGUCUCAAGAAAGUAUAUAUUUUAUAUACUAACACAUGUUCUAAGAGGUAGAAUAAUUAAACACGAACUGCUAUCUGUUUUGGUUAUGUUUAAGUCACAAACGUUUAAAAUGGCCAUCAUUUCAGAGUUGACCACAUGUAAGAUAUAUAUUGCUUUAAUAAGUUUAUUUAACAUCUGGGAGGGAUACAAUUUUGCAAGAACACACUGUUCUGGAGAGUUUAUUAAGGUGGUGCUCACAGGGCCUGGGGUUGUUAUUUCUGAGGCUAUUAGAGCUGGUACUCACCAGCAUAAAUGCCCACAGGCUUGCUCUCAGAUUUCAGUGCCUCUGAGAAAGCUCCUGGAAGGGACUAUGAUAAAGUCCAUGAAUAAAGUUUUCAUCCUCAAAAAAGCCAGUCAU